CCUCUGAUUUGGGACACUGGCUUUUUUCCUGCCUUUGGACUCAAACUGAAACAUUGACUCUUCCUGGGUCUUCAGCCUGCUGGCCUGCAGACUGGAAUUGCAGCAUUGGUUCUCUUUGUUCUCAGGCCUUUUGACUUGGACUGGAACUACACCGUCAGCUCUCCCGGUUUCCAGCUUGCUGACUCACCUGGCAGAUCUUGGGACUUGUUAGCCUACAUAAUCCAUCUGAGAAGUGUAUCUGAAGCAAGAGUUAUUGAAGAUGGAAUGAGAUCAUCAUGGAUGGGUGGGUGAGGAAGUGGGUAAGGGUGAGAGAGCAUAUGGUGAAAAAGAAUCCAAUUUUCUAUUAAAUCACUUUGGCUAGCAUGUGAAGAUGGUAUUAGAGGAACAGGAAGAAUAGAAAAGCCGUUCACAGUAGUAUGGUGAAAGAUAAUCUGAGUGAAGGCAGGAGAUGGGCUACAGAGAAAUAAAUUGAUCAGAAUGUUGCUAAAAAAGAUAGAAUCUGUAGGACUUGCUUUUGGUCAGGGCUUUGCAACUUGCUAAUCCAGCAACUGAUAGGGAAUGUUGGGAGGCUGUGGUUGGAGAAAGCCUUGCUAGGGAGGUGAUUUAAUCAGAGAUCUGAAUGAUUAGGGGGUAACUAACCAUGAGGAAAGAGAGAUCUGGGCAGAGGGAAUGUAUUCAUUAUGUUCUGGAUGUGUUAUGUUAAGCUCAGUGUUGGCAUACUUGUUGUUCUUAAAUGUAUUGGAUGGAUGUGUGAACUAAUGUGCAAAUAGGGCUGAUGUCAUUGUUAUUUCUGUUGCAAAAAUAAAUGGAAGCUUUGUAAAUUG